AACGAACGCUGGCGGCAGGCUUAACACAUGCAAGUCGAACGCACUCUUCGGAGUGAGUGGCAGACGGGUGAGUAACGCGUGGGAACCUACCCUUUGGUACGGAAUAACACAGGGAAACUUGUGCUAAUACCGUAUGUGCCCUUCGGGGGAAAGAUUUAUUGCCAAAGGAUGGGCCCGCGUUGGAUUAGCUAGUUGGUAAGGUAACGGCUUACCAAGGCUACGAUCUAUAGCUGGUUUGAGAGGAUGACCAGCCACACUGGGACUGAGACACGGCCCAGACUCCUACGGGAGGCAGCAGUGGGGAAUAUUGGACAAUGGGGGAAACCCUGAUCCAGCCAUGCCGCGUGAGUGAUGAAGGCCUUAGGGUUGUAAAGCUCUUUCGCUAGGGAAGAUAAUGACGGUACCUAGUAAAGAAGCCCCGGCUAACUUCG
rnacentral:rRNA from 2 species